AAAUGGGUGAUUAGCUCAGUUAGAAAAAAGAGAGCAUCACCGCUAUUGACAAGUAACGGCGAAGUUCACUGGUUCAAGUCCAGUACUAUUUA
rnacentral:tRNA from 2 species